CAUAUACGUAUGUUGUAUACCUGGCUUCUAUUUUGAACAUCUUCUUGUAAUUUUUGUCUGUUUGACAUCCAUCGGCAAACUUCGUUGUCUUAAGAAAGUCAGAGACCUACAAGAUCAACAAGAGAAUGGGUGGAGAUAAAUCAAAAAACCGAGCGGAUAAGGCAGAGAAAGACCUCAAUCAAACCAAAACGGAAAAAAAGAAAGUGAAGAAGGGAAAGACGACUGAAAACGAUUACAACCAACUCCUUGCUAAGAACGUGAGAAUGGAAACAGAACAAAAGAUGGAAGAAGAACGAAGACAGGAGCUCGAGAAAGAAAGACUACAAUUAAUGGAACACAAUAGACAGCGAGAGAAAGAUGAAAGGACCAGGAUUAAGCAGGAAAAAGAGAUUGUAAAAGGAGAAGAGAUUGCAAAAGGAGAUCAGAACACUGUAUAAAAAAAAAGGGCAUAAACUGUUUAAUUUAUCCACAAAAUGUAUUAUUGAACAAAGCACACAAUCAUUGUAAACUUUUAAUAUCCACAAUUGCACUGCCUGUUUUAUUUUCCUCAUUCUGUGUUUAAAGGGAUAGUUCACACAAAUGACAGUGGUUUUAUAAUCCUGUUUGCAGUCUUUGGUUUUGUUUACCUGGCUGCUGCCACCAAAUGCUUUUCAAAACCAAUGCCUGUCAAUAUCUUAUAAUCCUCUGUAGCUUUGCAAUAAAUAGAUUCUAUUGA